ACCCUUUAAUGUUUGAUGUUCUAACGUGGACCCGUGAUCCGGGUUGCGGACAGUGUCUGGUGGGUAGUUUGACUGGGGCGGUCUCCUCCUAAAGAGUAACGGAGGAGCACGAAGGUUGGCUAAUCCUGGUCGGACAUCAGGAGGUUAGUGCAAUGGCAUAAGCCAGCUUGACUGCGAGCGUGACGGCGCGAGCAGGUGCGAAAGCAGGUCAUAGUGAUCCGGUGGUUCUGAAUGGAAGGGCCAUCGCUCAACGGAUAAAAGGUACUCCGGGGAUAACAGGCUGAUACCGCCCAAGAGUUCAUAUCGACGGCGGUGUUUGGCACCUCGAUGUCGGCUCAUCACAUCCUGGGGCUGAAGUAGGUCCCAAGGGUAUGGCUGUUCGCCAUUUAAAGUGGUACGCGAGCUGGGUUUAGAACGUCGUGAGACAGUUCGGUCCCUAUCUGCCGUGGGCGCUGGAGAACUGAGGGGGGCUGCUCCUAGUACGAGAGGACCGGAGUGGACGCAUCACUGGUGUUCGGGUUGUCAUGCCAAUGGCACUGCCCGGUAGCUAAAUGCGGAAGAGAUAAGUGCUGAAAGCAUCUAAGCACGAAACUUGCCCCGAGAUGAGUUCUCCCUGAG
rnacentral:rRNA from 2 species